CACUAGCGAAAAGUUGUUGGUAUACAGAGCUUAAUUUACAACCUUUUUUUUUUAUUAUUAUUAUUUUUUAAAUUAACCAAGGAGAAGAGUGUUUAAUAGAUAUAUUUUUCUUUGAAUAAAGUAUUAUAUUGCAAUCGUAUUUUGAUCAUCUUUCUUGACCUUCGUCACUGAGGAGGGAGUUUCUUGUCUGGAAUUUCUGAACGUUAUAUUGUAAAAUGGCUUCUACAUCUUCUUCGGCAAACCCCCCUCACAAAAAAUACGAUGUGUUUCUGAGUUUCAGAGGUGAGGACACCCGCAGUGGAUUUACUAGCUAUCUUUAUGCUGCUUUAUGUGAAAAGGGUUUCUCAACUUACAUGGAUGAGCAUAAACUUGAGAGAGGCGAUGAAAUUUCUCCAACACUUCUCAAAGCUAUCGAGGAAUCCAAAAUUUCGGUAGUUAUUUUUUCAAAAAACUAUGCUUCCUCCACAUGGUGUUUGAAUGAACUGGUGCAUAUACUUGAAUGCAAGAAAAAUAAUGGGCAGAUUGUUAUGCCAAUCUUUUAUGGCAUAGAUCCAUCAGAUGUACGAAAGCAGAAUGGGAGUUAUGGAAUGGCAUUUGCUAAACAUGAAGAAAGUUUCAGAGACAGAAUAAAGGAGGUGCACCAAUGGAGGGCUGCUUUAAAAGAAGUUUCCAAUCUAUGUGGGCUGGAUUCAAAGAAUUUCAGGCUUGAGAAUGAGUUAGUUAAACAAGUUGUUAAAGAUAUUUUAGAGAAAUUGCCUAAAUACCGAUCAACAUAUGAGCAUUCAAAGGAGUUGCUUUUCGGAAUUGAAAAAAAUAUUAAGGAAGUUGAAUCACUAUUAUCCAUUGGUUCAGAAGAUAUUCGCAUUAUAGGUAUUUGGGGUAUGGGGGGAAUCGGUAAAACCACCCUUGCUACCAUUGUUUUAGAAAAACUAUCUGAUGAGUUCGAUGGUCGCUGCUUUCUUUGGAAUGACAGAAAACAAUAUGCAACACAUGGAUUAGAUCAUUUAUUAGAUGACGUAGAUAAUUUAAGGAUGGAUACCCUAGUUGGAGCGUCAUCUUUUAUUCUUCACAGGCUUCGACGGAAAAAGAUGCUCAUUGUUGUAGAUGAUGUGGAUAGUUCAAUCCUAUUAGAUGCUUUAGUUCGAGAAUGUCGUCAUCGACUUGCUCCUGGAAGCAGAAUCAUUGUUACAUCUAGAAAUAGGCAAGUGCUUAAGGGAGUAUCCGAUGAUAUUUACAAGGUUCAGAGGUUAAAUUCCAUUGAAUCUUCGAAGCUCUUCCGUUUGUAUGCUUUCAAGUCUAAUCAUCCUCCAGCAAUUGAUGAUGAAAACAUGAUAUCACAAGUGAUAAGUUAUGCAUACGGAAAUCCAUUAGCUCUUAAGAUAUUGGGUUCUUCCCUUCUCUCUAGAAAUAAAGAAGAAUGGGAAAGUGCACUGAAGAAGCUGAAAAGAUUUUCAAACCCAGAUAUUCAAGAUGUGUUGAGAAUCAGUUAUGACCAACUAGAUGAUAAAGGGAUGAAGGAUACAUUUCUUGACAUUGCUUGCAUAUUUGAUUCAUCUUUUACUAGAGAUUAUGCAGAAAGCAUAUUAAUUGAUAAUCCUUCUGUGAAAUCUGAUAUAACUGAUCUAAUUGAAAAGUCUUUAAUUGAAAAAGGUGAAGUUCUUGAGGACAAUGUGCUAUUAAUGAAUGAUUUGAUACGUCAAAUGGGUAGGCAAAUCGCUCGUGAUGAACGUCAACAACCUGGUAAUCGUUGUAGGUUGUGUGAUGCCAAGGAUGCUUGCUACGUACUGGAAAAUGAAACGGGCACUGCUGCAAUUGAAGUCAUAUCAUUCAACAUGUCUGAAAUCACACAAAAUGUAAGAGUGUGCCCUGCAGCCUUCUCAAAUAUGUGCAACCUACGAAUUCUCAAAGUUUAUUGUGACAAUAUUGGUGGCUAUGUGUUUAAGCUGUCCAUUCCUAAUGGUCUUGAUUCUUAUCUUUCUAAUAAGCUAAGAUAUUUUCGGUGGGAUUUAUAUCCUUUGAAAUCAUUGCCAUCAAAAUUUAAUCCUGAGAAUCUUGUUGAACUUGCACUUCGUGGCAGCCAUCUUGAAAACCUUUGGAAUUAUAAAGUUCAGUCUCUCCCAAUGUUAAGAAGGAUUGAUCUGAGUCACUCCAAGUUUCUCACUCAACUACCAGAUUUGUCACGGAGUCCGAAUCUGGAAAGAAUAAAUCUUGAAGGCUGUACAUGCUUGGUUGAGGUUCUUUCAUCUAUUCAAAAUCUUGACAAGCUUGCUUAUCUAAAUUUGAAUGGUUGCACCGAACUUAAAAAUUUGAAAGAUAUAUCAAGGAGCACAGGGUGCUUGGAUUUUAUUCUGCAUUGCAUUGAAAAUCUUUCGAUGGACAUUUGCCAACUGAGUCUCACAUCUCAGGCCCACAUUUCUCAAAAGUUUCCAGUGAAUUUAACACGUUUACUUUUGAGGGAGACAGCAAUAGAAGAAGUGGACCCAUCAAUUGGGUAUCUCUCAGGUCUUGUUGAAUUAGAUAUGAGUUAUUGCACAAGACUUCAAUGUCUUCCAGCCAGCGUUUGUAAUUUGAAAUCUCUUGAGAUGUUAAGCCUCCACUCCUGUUCAAAACUUGAAAAAUUGCCUCCCCUUCCAUCCGCUCUGCUCCACAUGGAUCUAUACCGUUGUGAAAGCUUGAAAUCUUUAUCAGAGCUUCCAUUAUUAUGCUUUAGUCUGUGUGCACCAUACUGCAAGACACUGGAGAACAUAUCAACUUGGAGGGCUCCACUGUUACACAAUAUGAAAAUCAUUAACCAUACUUUUUUCUAUGGAAAUAUUGACUUUUAUGGUUGUGAAAAAUUGGAUCAGAAUACACGCAACAGCAUACUCGCCGAUCGUGCUGUACUUAAACUUCUGUACCGUAUGAAGUUUGGGACGAGUAGCUCAAAUUUUCCUAAUUUUCGAUAUCCAGGAGAUGAAAUUCCAAAGUGGUUUGACCAUCAAACUUGUGGGACUUCAAUGAAAGUUAUGCUUGACACAAAUUGGAAUAAUGCCGACUUCUUGGGUUUGGCUUUCUGCAUUGUUUAUGAUCAAAAUAAAAUUGACCCUGAUAUAUGUCUUGGUAUUGGUGGAAAAUUCUAUUUCAAAACAAUGGAUGAUUAUCGUCUGCUGCAUGUAUAUCAUAUUUCUGUGAGUCUCAUGGAACAGGAGGUUACUUCAGAUCACCUGCUCAUGUGGUACGUUGCAAAACCCACUUUGCUAAGUUCAGAAAAAAUGGGACCAAAUUGGCUAUCUGCUUGUUGGAAUGAGGCUUCUUUGCAUAUCUGGCCUAAAUUCCAUACUUCUAAUGUAUUUCGCAAUGUCAAAAACUUGGGAAGUGAGUAUGGCCAGAUUAAGAAGUUUGGUAUUCGCUUUGUAUACAUAGCAGAUGUAGAGAGGUUUGAUGCAGAAACUAAAAGUGGGAAUAAAAGACACUAUGAUAGAAUAUUGUGAAUCAAGUGGAAGUGAAGCUAAAAGAAAAAAUAAGAGAUACUUUGAUGAAUAUUGUGGCUUUCUCGAUGAAGAAGAUGUCAAAUGGCAUCCUACCAUUAAAUCUUAGAGUUUCUGAAGUUUUAUGUAUGUCACUGUUUGUAAGUUGCAGAACAAUUGGAUGCUCGCAAACCACAGAAUACAACAAUUCCAUGAUGCAACUAAGAGAGAUGCGUUAGCGAUGAAUAUGAUCAUGAAACCGGUUAAUCUAUUGUUGUUGGCUCUGAUUAAUGAGGAGGAAGAAAAUCCCAAUGCUAAUUCAAGGACAACGCAGCAUAUUCUGUGAUUGCUUUAGGAAGGUACUGUGUGAGCUAUGCAGACAAUCUUUAGCUUCACAUGAAUGGUCUUAUACCUUGGAAAGGUUCUCUGUUCCUUUUCAGAGAAUCAUCUGUCAGUCACACAAAAGACCCUUUCUUUGUAAAAUAUGGUGGGGGACACUUUAUAUCUUGACUCAUUUCACUUUGACUGGUUUUGUUAAUGAUUGUGAAAGCAUGGAAUGUUUUUGGUUUUUGAAGCAAAAGGAUUCUAAUAUUUGGUAAGCAAUUUUUGUAGCUUCAUUUUCAAGUUUUUCUUAUGUGCCAAAUAAAAACUAAAGUAUUUUUUUCCAUAGCAAUGGCAAUGGUGCGGUGCUUAUGGUCAUUUCUGGGGAAGUUAAGCUGUAUUUGUUGAUGGGACGAUUUCUGCAAGUAUAAAGGUCGUAUGUAGUAAUAAAAUGAUGAGAAAGUAUC